CACGUAGGGUGCGAGCGUUGUCCGGAAUUAUUGGGCGUAAAGAGCUCGUAGGCGGUGUGUCGCGUCGGCCGUGAAACCUGCAGCUUAACUGUGGCUUGCGGUCGAUACGGGCAUCACUGGAGUUCGGCAGGGAGACUGGAAUUCUGGUGUAGCGGUGAAAUGCGCAGAUAUCAGGAGGAACACCGGUGGCGAAGGCAGGUCACUGGCCGCAACUGACGCUGAGGAGCGAAAGCAUGGGAGCGAACAGG
rnacentral:rRNA from 1 species